AUUGAACGCUGGCGGCAGGCCUAACACAUGCAAGUCGAACGGUAACAGGAAGCAGCUUGCUGCUUUGCUGACGAGUGGCAGACGGGUGAGUAAUGUCUGGGAAACUGCCCGAUGGAGGGGGAUAACUACUGGAAACGGUAGCUAAUACCGCAUAACGUCGCAAGACCAAAGAGGGGGACCUUAGGGCCUCUUGCCAUCGGAUGUGCCCAGAUGGGAUUAGCUAGUAGGUGGGGUAACGGCUCACCUAGGCGACGAUCCCUAGCUGGUCUGAGAGGAUGACCAGCCACACUGGAACUGAGACACGGUCCAGACUCCUACGGGAGGCAGCAGUGGGGAAUAUUGCACAAUGGGCGCAAGCCUGAUGCAGCCAUGCCGCGUGUAUGAAGAAGGCCUUCGGGUUGUAAAGUACUUUCAGCGGGGAGGAAGGGAGUAAAGUUAAUACCUUUGCUCAUUGACGUUACCCGCAGAAGAAGCACCGGCUAACUCCGUG
rnacentral:rRNA from 1 species